rfam:Triticum urartu cultivar G1812 contig1218056, whole genome shotgun sequence.
ACGGUACUCCAUCCGUCCGAAAAUACUCGUUAUCAAAAUGAAUAAAAGGGGAUGUAUCUACAUGUAUAUUAGUUCUAGAUACAUCCCUUUUUAUCCAUUUUGAUGACAAGUAUUUUUGGACGGAGGGAGUACAUG